AUACGUAGGUGACAAGCGUUAUCCGGAUUUACUGGGCGUAAAGGGCGUGUAGGCGGUCUUGCAAGUCAGAAGUGAAAUUCCUGAGCUCAACUCGGGCGCUGCUUCUGAAACUGCAGGACUUGAGUGCUGGAGGGGAUAGCGGAAUUCCUAGUGGAGCGGUAAAAUGCGCAGAUAUUAGGAAGAACACCGGUGGCGGAGGCGGCUAUCAAGACAAUAACUGACGUUGCGGCGCGAGAGGGUGGGGGACAAACAGGAUUUGAUACCCUGGUCGUCCACGUCGUAAACGAUGAAUUCUAGGUGUAGGGGGUAUCGACCCCUCCUGUGCCGGAGGGAACACAAUAAGCAUUCCGCCUGGGGAGUACGGCCGCAAGGUUGAAACUCAAAGGAAUUGACGGGG
rnacentral:rRNA from 1 species